rnacentral:rRNA from 1 species
UACGUAGGGUGCGAGCGUUGUCCGGAUUUAUUGGGCGUAAAGAGCUCGUAGGCGGUUUGUCGCGUCGGCCGUGAAAUCUCCACGCUUAACGUGGAGCGUGCGGUCGAUACGGGCAGACUUGAGUUCGGUAGGGGAGACUGGAAUUCCUGGUGUAGCGGUGAAAUGCGUAGAUACUGGGAGGAACACCAGUGGCGAAGGUGGCUACCUGGACCGGUUCUGACGCUGAGGCGCGAAAGCGUGGGUAGCAAACAGG